GACGAACGCUGGCGGCGUGCUUAACACAUGCAAGUCGAACGGAAAGGCCCUGCUUUUGUGGGGUGCUCGAGUGGCGAACGGGUGAGUAACACGUUAGUAACCUGCCCUUGACUUUGGGAUAACUUCAGGAAACUGGGGCUAAUACCGGAUAGGAGCUCCUGCUGCAUGGUGGGGGUUGGAAAGUUUCGGCGGUUGGGGAUGGACUCGCGGCUUAUCAGCUUGUUGGUGGGGUAGUGGCUUACCAAGGCUUUGACGGGUAGCCGGCCUGAGAGGGUGACCGGCCACAUUGGGACUGAGAUACGGCCCAGACUCCUACGGGAGGCAGCAGUGGGGAAUAGUGCACAAUGGGCGGAAGCCUGAUGCAGCAACGCCGCGUGCGGGAUGACGGCCUUCGGGUUGUAAACCGCUUUCGCCUGUGACGAAGCGUGAGUGACGGUAAUGGGUAAAGAAGCACCGGCUAACUACGUG
rnacentral:rRNA from 1 species